rnacentral:rRNA from 1 species
GAAACAUGUCUAGCUUGCUAGAUGAUGUCGAGUGGCGGACGGGUGAGUAAUGCUUGGGAACUUGCCUUUGCGAGGGGGAUAACAGUUGGAAACGACUGCUAAUACCGCAUAAUGUCUACGGACCAAACGGGGCUUCGGCUCCGGCGCAAAGAGAGGCCCAAGUGAGAUUAGCUAGUUGGUGAGGUAAAGGCUCACCAAGGCAACGAUCUCUAGCUGUUCUGAGAGGAAGAUCAGCCACACUGGGACUGAGACACGGCCCAGACUCCUACGGGAGGCAGCAGUGGGGAAUAUUGCACAAUGGGGGAAACCCUGAUGCAGCCAUGCCGCGUGUGUGAAGAAGGCCUUCGGGUUGUAAAGCACUUUCAGUUGUGAGGAAAAGUUAGUAGUUAAUACCUGCUAGCCGUGACGUUAACAACAGAAGAAGCACCGGCUAACUUCGUGCCAGCAGCCGCGGUAAUACGAGGGGUGCAAGCGUUAAUCGGAAUUACUGGGCGUAAAGCGUUCGUAGGCGGUUGAUUAAGCAAGAUGUGAAAGCCCAGGGCUCAACCUUGGAACUGCAUUUCGAACUGGCAAGCUAGAGUACAGUAGAGGGUGGCGGAAUUUCCUGUGUAGCG